rnacentral:rRNA from 1 species
UACGUAGGGAGCAAGCGUUGUCCGGAAUCAUUGGGCGUAAAGAGCGUGUAGGCGGCCGGGUAAGUCCGGUGUGAAAACUCGAGGCUUAACCUCGAGAUGUCAUCGGAAACUAUUCGGCUAGAGUCCGGAAGAGGAGAGUGGAAUUCCUGGUGUAGCGGUGAAAUGCGCAGAUAUCAGGAAGAACACCUAUGGCGAAAGCAGCUCUCUGGGACGGUACUGACGCUGAGACGCGAAAGCGUGGGGAGCGAACAGG